rnacentral:lncRNA from 1 species
GCUUGCGCAAACCCUUGAGAUGGGUGGUUGCAAUCUCCCCGACUCUAGGGGCUCUAGGGGUGCCUGCGAUGGCCCAGACAAACCCAUGGGAAAAAAAUAAAAUCAUAUUCUUAUUAGAAGAAGAUUAGGCCUCGAAUCAUGCCAGGUUCAACUUAGGAGAUGGUUUGCCUAGCCAGCUAACCAUAGGAGUACAUAAAAAUGCACGAUUACACAGCUGGACCGUAUCAGGCUCGAUGUCUGUCAUCAAAUCCAAGCGUGACAACAGGAAAGUCAUCAACAGGAUUGUAUUUGGUCCGGCCACCAAUGCUGUCUUCUUCCAUAACUGCUUCGUCGAGGUAAUCACUACACAAUGUCCCCUCAACUCCUCGUUUAAUUAUUAAACUACUUCGUCUAGAAGUUUAAACAGCUUUAUAGGGCCUAACAAGUGCACAAUUUUCAUAAAUAGUUGGCAUCAAGAGCAAGAGUCGAGCCCACAAUUGUUGUCUUCUCUAUAACUAUUUCAUCUAAAAGUUUAAGCAAUCAAAUUUUAUCUUAUAAUUAUUUAUGAAUUGUGUUGCUUGAAGGGUGUGAUACAUCAUUAAUUAUAACAAGAAGAAUGGGAAGCAAAGAACUAUCAGAGAAGGACGCAAAGGAUAAUAAAGAACUAGCAGUGGAGUCAUUUGAUAGCAUAAAAAAGGCAAAAUCAUUGGUGGCGAGCAAGUUUCCCUCGAGUUGUAACCUGUGCAUAUGUACCUGUAAUUGCAGACAGAGAUUCUGUCGAUUUUUGGUAAGAUAUAUUUUUGUGUUUUUCCAGUUCUCAACUCAAAAAUCAAAAUUAGGGCCUCAAAUGGUAAUCCUAUUAGAAUCAUGGGGCAUUUGCAAAAAUGUCCAAUUUUACAUAUGUCAAUUUAAAAAUGUCCA